GGUCUUGUGGCCGGCCCAGGGGCGGCCUAGGGUACGCAAAACUAACCUCGUUAGUUUAAGUGAGGGUUGGGCAUGUUCGAGGAACGCCAGGACCG
rnacentral:tRNA from 1 species